rfam:Cajanus cajan Scaffold000373_2, whole genome shotgun sequence.
AAGCCAUAUGAUGAGUUUGGAUUUACAAUUUCUCACGACGGUCGUCUGAGAUUACUGUGAUGCAUUGAUCCUCUAUGUCUGAUGGUU